rnacentral:lncRNA from 1 species
CAAACAAAAUAAAACUGGUCCUCUCAAAGGAAACAAUUUCCAUAACUUAUCUCUGCUGGAAAAAUAAACAGGCUUUUAAGUCUGUCAGCAUAUUAGCUAAACAGUCUGAAAAACUUAGUUAGAACCAAUUUCUGUCAUUGUCAAAAAGAGUCCUGAUGCUCAGUUCUCCCGAGCUUUGCAAAAAAACACAAAAUCACAAUAGCAGUCUCUUUUCUAAAUGGGAAGAACUUUAAAAGAGACUGACCCCAACAUUACCUGAAUAUGACUUCAUUCAAAGAUAAUGUUCAAGUACUAGAUUGGGCUCUGGCCUUUUCUCCUGGGCAGUUGCCUCCACCGUGAUACAAUCUACACUUUUAUCUUUCAAACAAACACUACGAGACUAUAUCAGAGUAGUACUGAUCAAAUAAGACUUUAAGUGGUCCUUUAUUGGCAUAGGAGAGAGUGUUAAAUUAUUAUUAUUAUUUUUUUUAACUAGACUUUAUACUUUUUCUUUUGUUGUUUCCCCACAGAAUAAUCCUGGAGCCAGUUUCAAAGACAAAUCUGCCAAUGGCCUGUUCCAUGUACUUUCAAAAGUCCACUUGAGACUGAUGCUGAGAGAGAAGAAAUCAUAGACCAGGGAAGCACAAAAGAGAGAAAGGCUAUGCAUCUGCUUUAUUGUACGGCUGCAGUCUGCAACCUGGACAAACUUUCUGGAGAGAGAAUACGAAACACCUACAGCAUUUCCAAACUUGGACAGAUGAGUUAAAAAAAAAAAAAAAGGAGAGGAAAAGGCCUGAUACAGAAAACAAUACGCACUUCAAUGAAGCAAAGAUCAGGUAAUAGGUUCCCUUUCAACUUUAAUGUUUUGAUCUAAAUUGCCUACUGAUUCUGAUCUUUCCCUGCUCAAAGAGCUGUUCUUCCAGUAAUUGUUUAGAGUCAGAGCUCUAAAUGAAACAUUGCCCUUAUGGCUCAAAAUCUGUACCUUCUCAUUAUUUACUCACCGAAAUUUAUGUGAAGAAGUUGGCUUUGGCCAAUUUUUAGUCCUAUUACAUCACUUUUAACCAAACCUCUUCAGAUACACAUUUAUUCUUAAGCAUGCCUGAAGACUUUGGCAGUCAUAGAUGGAGUACUCCGUGGCAUCGGCUAUCUGAGCUCCUCUCCAUUCCUGCAAGAUCUUAGUGACUGCUCACAUUUAACAAGGCAUAAAAAUACCUACUUUGUGCCAGGAUCCAAUCAUUCACCUUGAAAAGGACUGUUCAGCUAUAAUAGUUUAUGUGUGAUAUGCAAUUAAAGUAGUAAAAAGGAGUAUUUACAAUUGCAAUGAAGAGGCAAAUAAAAUAGACAAAAGGAUUUAGUAAGCA